rnacentral:rRNA from 1 species
UCCCAGACUCCUACGGGAGGCAGCAGUGGGGAAUAUUGCACAAUGGGGGGAACCCUGAUGCAGCGACGCCGCGUGAGCGAAGAAGUACCUCGGUAUGUAAAGCUCUCUCAGCAGGGAAGAAAAUGACGGUACCUGAAGAAGAAGCCCCGGCUAACUACGUGCCAGCAGCCGCGGUAAUACGUAGGGGGCAAGCGUUAUCCGGAUUUACUGGGUGUAAAGGGGGCGCAGACGGCGAUGCAAGCCAGGAGUGAAAGCCCGGGGCCCAACCCCGGGACUGCUCUUGGAACUGCGUGGCUGGAGUGCAGGAGGGGCAGGCGGAAUUCCUGGUGUAGCGGUGAAAUGCGUAGAUAUCAGGAGGAACACCGGUGGCGAAGGCGGCCUGCUGGACUGCAACUGACGUUGAGGCCCGAAAGCGUGGGGAGCAAACAGGAUUAGAUACCCGAGUAU